rnacentral:misc_RNA from 1 species
UUUCCGUAGGUGAACCUGCGGAAGGAUCAUUGUUGAAAGCUUUAAGAAUGUCGGUGGACUUGAGGACCCUUGUCGGAACAUAUGCUGGUGGUGUAUGGGGGAAAGCCUUGUCAUCAACUUGUGGUCGAUGGAGGUGUGUUCGGGUUCCAAAGUGCACCCCGACCUAAGACUUAAAUCGGCACAGAAUGUGCCAAGGAAGCUCUAUGUGAAAAUUUCACCCCCACCCCAACCUCACUUGGCAUGCGUGUGGGGAUUCGGGGUGGCGGGUUGUCCAAAUGCAACUUAACGACUCUCGACGAUGGAUAUCUCGGCUCUCGUAUCGAUGAAGAACGCAGCGAAAUGCGAUACAUGGUGUGAAUUGCAGAAUCUCGUGAAUCAUUGAGUUUUUGAACGCAAGUUGCGCUUGAAGCCAUUUUUUUGGUUGAGGGCACACCUGCCUGGGUGUCAUGCAUGGAGUUGUCCCCAGACCUCCUCCGACUGGAGAGAAGGAGCGUUGGGGGGUUGAUGUUGGCCUUCUGUUCCCUUGUGGUGUAGUUGGUUUAAAUUUUGGGUCCCAAGCGCCAUGCGCCGCGAUGAGUUAUGGAGAACCGUGUUUGUUCCAUGUCGGUUGGUGAACCACCUGCGGUCCAAUGGCCUUGUUUGACACCAUAACAGAGCAGACACCCAAACCCC